GGGCCGCUCGUGAUCAAAAUGGAAAAUAUUUUAGAACACAACAACACCUAAAAAAACGUACGUAGUCAACGAAAAACAUCAAAACUGAGGAACAGUAUUCUCCAAGAGCACAAAUUUGUGAAACCCUAAAUGGAAUCUGAGGGAAAUGAAGCCUCUCAUCUAUGCGCAAAGAGGAACAAACCCACUAACCAUUCCCAGUUUCCAUCAAGUUCAAUGCAAGAUUUGAGCUUAAAAAUCUGUAUUUUGCCAACAGAACUCAUCACUGAAAUACUCUUAAGGCUUCCAGUAAAAUCACUCUUGAAAUUCAGGUGUGUUUCAAAAUCUUGGCUUGCUUUAAUCUCUAGCCCUCAAUUUGUCAACACCCAUCUCAGUAUAUGUGCUAAUAACAAGGACAACACCCACCAGAGGCUUAUUGUGACGGUUAAUCGACAUAAGUACAAUCUUAAGGACAUUUCUGUUAGUUCUUUACUUUAUGAUUCAGUUACUGAGGCAUUGGACUUGGACUAUCCUACGAGAAACACCCAUAAAUGUAUUAGUAUUGUGGGUUCUAUCAAUGGGUUGAUCUGUCUUUCCGUUGGAGAAGCAAACUUUUUUAUCUGGAAUCCAUUAGUUAGGAAGUUCAAGGAAUUGUCUGAUUGUAGAGAUGCAUUUUGUUUUGGUUACCCUUGCAUUUAUGGUUUUGGAUAUGAUGAGCGUCAUGAUGAUUAUAAGGUAGUGGUAGGGUUGGCUAAUAAGCGUUAUGACCGUUCUUUUCUUGUUAAGGUUAAAAUGUAUAGUCUAACUAGUGAUUCUUGGACAAGUAUAGAAGAUUUUCGUAGUGAUUGGUUUGCCAUUAGGUCGGCUAUGUUUGUGAAUGGGAAACUUCAUUGGACUAUAUGUACUUAUUGUCAUCCUUGUGAUUCUUGGGACAUCAUUUCUAUUGAUUUGGCUGAUAGGAAAUGGGGAAAAGUGGAGCAACCUUCCUAUGAAGAAGGAGAUAUUUAUUCGACGCUGGGAGUUUUGGGUACUGAUCUUUCCGUGUGUUAUAAUUAUCUUGGAAUUCGCGCCGAUGUGUGGGUUAUGAAGGAGUAUGGGGUUAAAAAAUCUUGGAUAAAGAUGUUUACCAUCUGUCAUCCAUUUGAACCGCUGGCUUUUGAGUUCUAUACAUUCUUUUGCAUGUCAAAUAAAGGUAAAGUUUUGUUUGUGUGUGGACCAAAUGUCAGGAUUUACAAUCCAAAGGAUGACUCAAUCUUAUGUUCAAAGAUUACCAGCUAUAACACCUUUUAUGAGGCAAACAUUUACAUUGAAAGCCUAGUGUGGCCCUUUAUUAGGAAGGAACCAAUGAUGCACAUGGAGGAGAUUGAAAAAGCUCAGAUGAAGACGAUCUUGUAAUUAAUAAUCACUAAUUGAGGAAGCAAGAGAGAAAUGCAGCAGGCCGAGGAACUUAUUGGUCUGCAACGUAUGUUAGAUUACUGGAGCUAUAUGGGUUAAGAAGUGAAUGCUGAUUCUAGGAACAAACUAAUUUACUACUUGUUGUCUGCAUGGAUUUCAAUGAAGAAGAAGGAUGACUUUUCUCUGUUUUUGCUGUUUCUUUUUUUGGUAGGUUACAAAAUGUGUGUACAGGGAAGAGUUGGCGUAGUUAGCACGCCAUGAUUUUACUGUUCAUUUGUGAUGUACUUGUGUUAUUUUCUUGAGCACAGAGCAAGACUUACAUACGCUA